rnacentral:lncRNA from 1 species
AUAAGUAAGUAUUAUUUCAUUCAAAAUGUACCAAAGAACCAUUAUCGAGGAUUAAAGAGUCUAAUAACUUCAACACUUAAAUUCUUUGUCACCUUUGGAACAAGGAUACAGUGGGUACUUCAACCAUGGAAACAAUUGGAACAACCGGUUUCGUCAACCAAAACUAUACUCUCGUUCAUCAAGGACAUAUUUAAACCAUUUACUAAUCUGGCAGGAAUUUGUGGUGACCAAGCACAGCAGAUAAAGAGGCAACCAUUAGCUUGAACUUUGCCAUUAACAUUGUGAUGUUAUUUAUAACCCCCACGACACAAACAAGAGGACGCCACAAUCCCAUCACACAAACUCAUGGCCAUCAGAAAGGGAUCAUUCAUGGCCACGAAACAGUUUGAACCUGCCAAAUUGACAAGACUCCAACCAUCAUAGAUUGUUUUCUCAAAAACAUACAUAAAUUGGGUUCAUUUAUAGUAAUCACAGUUCUCAUCAAAACAGCACAAGAAAUUCACGAUCAGUUCUGGGACGACAUCUUCUCAAUGGAGAGGAAAGCAUCAAGAUUUUGCCAAAAAAGUGAAUCAAAGAGUAAAUAAUCAAGGGAAUCUCAGUCAGUACCGUAGUAAGAUGAAAACAGCAGGUCAACAAGAGGGAGAAGCUGUAAGAUCGAUCAACUACGACAACAAAAAAAAGGGAGCAGAAGAGUAAGAGGCGGUGGGGAACUGGAGAUGAGAUGUGGUUUUGGAAACUUCUGAUUUAGAAACCCUACUCUUUCUACUUAUCAAUUAUCAUAUAUGUUUUUUUGGUUGGGUUGGGUAGAGUAAUGGAUUGCUGAAAGUUGAAACAGGUUUUUAUUUUGUUGAAUAAUGGGUUGGGCCAUUAAGUUUUAUUAUUAAUAAAAUGAUAAAUUAAACCCUAAAAACAAAAAUUAAAUAGGGAUAACAUAGUAAUUUUACUGUAUUCUUAUUGGGUUAUCGGUUAAACCGAUAACCUAAUAGAUCAAAAUCGAAAUCAAACCAGUUAACCAAUAGAUUUUUUUUAUAAAACCAAUAACAAACCAAUAACCCAAUAACCCGAUACCGAUAACCCAAUAGUAUUUUUAUCAGUUCGGUUUAUCGGUCGGUUCGAUUUUUACACAGCCCUAGGGACAACCGACACUCAUUGGGGAAUAAUGUUAUGAAUGUUCUAGUUUGCCUCAGAGAUUGGAUUAGAGCGGAAUGAAGAAAUCGAGGAAUAGAGGUGGAGCCGAAAGACGAACAGAAUCUUGAAGAAGUUAUGACUUCAAGGGAGAACUCAGCACAAUCAAGUCCAAUGCAUGAUUUUGCGCCC